UGAUGUCAAUGGCGUUGCCAAGCAACAAGGAACUACUUAUGUUGCAUCAUCGGUAAUGUGGACAUGAAGGAGAAAUCUGUUUUUUUAAGCUUCAAAAGUCAUAUAUAUCUGGAUAUAUGAGUAAAAAAUACAAACACUUUCAAUAUGUGAAAAUAUAAACAAUAAAAGUUAAAUUAAGAUUUAAACUUGAGACAGUAAUAAUGACUAUGUUGUGGGACCGGGUACUGCAUAGAUUUAAGGCAACAAGCGACCAACUCCAAAGAAGCGAUAUAGAUUUAGCUACUGCUCUUGGCUUUCUGCGCUCAUGUAACAUAGUUAGAAUGGAUGGCUAAAACCCUUCUAAACUGGCUGAACUACGCCAUCUACUGCCACAAAGUGGUACACAAACGGACCGUAAAAAGGACGGAUUGUGGGUAAUCCUCAGUGUAAUGGAGGAUUAAAAGAAGGUCCACAAUUUCCUUGGUGUCCUUUAUAUUUUACAGAAGUUAACAGCUCCAGCACGACAAACAUAGAAAGCAGAAGACAUCUCACAGGGGUUACACUCACUGCAUUCCAACGUGAUCUCCAAAACCUGUUCGUAAAAAUGUAUACGAAAAUCUUCAACAUACAAAUUCGUAACAAUACGAACUGCGGGGGUU
ensembl:lncRNA